UACGGGGGGGGCAAGCGUUGUUCGGAAUUACUGGGCGUAAAGGGCUCGUAGGCGGCCAACUAAGUCAGACGUGAAAUCCCCAGGCUCAACCUGGGAACUGCGUCUGAUACUGGAUGGCUUGAAUCCGGGAGAGGGAUGCAGAAUUCCUGGUGUAGCGGUGAAAUGCGCAGAUAUCAGGAGGAACACCGGUGGCGAAGGCGGGUCUCUGGGCAACUACUGACGCUGAGGAGCGAAAGCGUGGGGAGCGAACAGG
rnacentral:rRNA from 1 species